rnacentral:rRNA from 1 species
GGCGAACGCUGGCGGCAGGCCUAACACAUGCAAGUCGAACGAACCUUUCGGGGUUAGUGGCGGACGGGUGAGUAACACGUGGGAACGUGCCUUUAGGUUCGGAAUAACUCAGGGAAACUUGUGCUAAUACCGAAUGUGCCCUUCGGGGGAAAGAUUUAUCGCCUUUAGAGCGGCCCGCGUCUGAUUAGCUAGUUGGUUGAGGUAAUGGCUCACCAAGGCGACGAUCAGUAGCUGGUCUGAGGGAUGAUCAGCCACAUUGGGACUGAGACACGGCCCAAACUCCUACGGGAGGCAGCAGUGGGGAAUCUUGCGCAAUGGGCGAAAGCCUGACGCAGCCAUGCCGCGUGAAUGAUGAAGGUCUUAGGAUUGUAAAAUUCUUUCACCGGGGACGAUAAUGACGGUACCCGGAGAAGAAGCCCCGGCUAACUUCGUG